AACCUGCAGACAGGAGAGAGAGAAGCCAAACUCCUGGACAGAGAAUAUGGGGAAGGUGACACGAGAGAAGAGAGAAGAAGAAAAAGGCUGGGCAAGGUUGAUCUUGAUGCAAAUUCAUUCACAUCUGAGGAGCUUAAAAAGGCCUUGGCUAAAAUGAAGGAAAGUGAGAAGGCAGAAAGGAAGGCCCGAGAGGAAGAGGUGAGGAAGAAGUUCCGGCCCAUAGAGCAGCUGAAGGAGGAGUUUGAAAAGCUGAACAUGAAGAUAGAAACAGAUUAUGAAAUUAUGGUUAAAUUAAUCAGCAAAUUCAACA